UCCGAGAUAGUAUAGUGGUUAGUAUUUCUGCCUGUCACGCGGAAGACCGGGGUUCGAUUCCCCGUCUCGGAG
rnacentral:tRNA from 1 species